UCCUACGGGAGGCAGCAGUGGGGAAUUUUGGACAAUGGGGGAAACCCUGAUCCAGCCAUUCCGCGUGAGUGAAGAAGGCCUUCGGGUUGUAAAGCUCUUUUGUCCGGAACGAAACGGCUACGACCAAUACUCGUGGCUACUGACGGUACCGGAAGAAUAAGCACCGGCUAACUACGUGCCAGCAGCCGCGGUAAUACGUAGGGUGCGAGCGUUAAUCGGAAUUACUGGGCGUAAAGCGUGCGCAGGCGGUUUUGUAAGCCAGAUGUGAAAGCCCCGGGCUUAACCUGGGAAUGGCAUUUGGGACUGCAAGGCUUGAGUGCGGCAGAGGAGACUGGAAUUCCUGGUGUAGCAGUGAAAUGCGUAGAUAUCAGGAGGAAUACCGAUGGCGAAGGCAGGUCUCUGGGCUGACACUGACGCUCAUGCACGAAAGCGUGGGGAGCAAACAGGAUUAGAUACCCUGGUAGC
rnacentral:rRNA from 1 species